rnacentral:rRNA from 1 species
GACGAACGCUGGCGGCGUGCUUAACACAUGCAAGUCGAACGAAGUGGCGAACGGGUGAGUAACGCGUAAUCAACCUGCCCUUCAGAGGGGGACAACAGUUGGAAACGACUGCUAAUACCGCAUACUGAAGGAGGGGAUUGCGUCGGAUUAGCUAGUUGGAGGGGUAACGGCCCACCAAGGCGAUGAUCAGUAGCCGGUCUGAGGGGGUGAACGGCCAAAUCUGGACCGGGAAACGGCCCAGACUCCUACGGGAGGGAGCCGUGGGGAAUCUUCCGCAAUGGACGAAAGUCUGGCGGAGCAACGCCGCGUGAGUGAUGACGGCCUUCGGGUUGGAAAGCUCUGUUAAUCGGGACGCGGUACCGGAAUAGAAAGCCACGGCUAACUACGUGCCAGCAGCCGCGGUAAUAC